UCCAAAUUACUGCUACUGGAAUAGAGGAUAACAAGUUA
rnacentral:sRNA from 1 species